GUUGGGUUAAGUCCCGCAACGAGCGCAACCCUUGUUCUGUGUUGCCAGCAUGCCCUUCGGGGUGAUGGGGACUCACAGGAGACUGCCGGGGUCAACUCGGAGGAAGGUGGGGACGACGUCAAGUCAUCAUGCCCCUUAUGUCUUGGGCUGCACACGUGCUACAAUGGCCGGUACAAAGAGCUGCGAUGCCGCGAGGCGGAGCGAAUCUCAAAAAGCCGGUCUCAGUUCGGAUUGGGGUCUGCAACUCGACCCCAUGAAGUCGGAGUUGCUAGUAAUCGCAGAUCAGCAUUGCUGCGGUGAAUACGUUCCCGGGCCUUGUACACACCGCCCGUCACGUCACGAAAGUCGGUAACACCCGAAGCCGGUGGCCNACCCC
rnacentral:rRNA from 1 species